CCCUGUUUUCUUCAAUGGAGAUUUUGCAGAACUUUUCUUUCUACCAACUUUCUUCACAACCUUCGGAAUUUCAACUUAAGAUUGUAAUCUUCAUCCUUUUCUUCUUCUUCAGUUAGCUUUGAUUUUUUUCACUUUCAACACUUACCUAUCCACCCUGAGUUCAGCUAUAAGUACUAAUGUACUUUGGAAUCUCUUCAUCACUUUAAGUCUUUUCAUUAACAAAUUUCUCCGUAUCAGACGUUGCAUAUAUAACCCCAACUUCAACUGCUUUACGUUUGCCUUUUUCUUUUGUAGCAGGUUUUGCUUUCUUGGAUUAAGAACCCUAACUGUCGUCUUCUUUCUUGAAUUUUUUGCUUUUUGAAUGCAUAAAUUUCUUCAUUGCUUCAGUUUUAGAAUCAAAAUUGUUAUCAUCGUGCCUCCACUUGUUAUUUUCAGGUGCUUCAUAAUCUUUCUUCUUCAGAUGCCCGAAUAACCCUCUGAAUUUAGGGAACCAUCGACUUUCAUCUUCUUUUGAAUAUCCAUUCAUACCCUAGUGGUUUACAACCCGAUGAAAGAUCCACUAGCUCUCUAGGUAUGAUUACGCGAGAUACAAUCAAUUUCACUCUUGAUGGUUUCUUCCCGUUGAAGUCUUUCUGAAGAGGUGACCGCUUCCCAGUAAGUUUGAAGCUCACUCUUAAGUCUCAACCAUAUAACUAUAUAAGUAAGUAAGAAUGUCAAGCCCAAAAGAUUUCUUAACCCUCUGUCUUUUGUAUCUUCUUGGCUUAACCUCUUUAUCCUCUGACUGUUCUUGAGUUUCACCUUAAACAGUCUUAUCAACUAAUGUUGAUGAAGUCGUUUGUGUUUUUCAUUAAAUAUCCAACAGUUACUAUGAUACUUUGUAUUUUGACAGUCGUUCAGAUCUUGAUAAGGUUCGAUUAUGUGUAAAAACCCAAAUAAAUUACCAGUUAAAUUCCCCUAA